AGCGGAACGGGCGGGGCCGGCGCGGCACACGCGGCCGAGAGCAGCGACCGCCAGCGCAUUCACACCCGAGCUUGGCACAGCACCCCGCGACACCCUGCGGCGCAGUCAAAAGAAAGGAUCAUAGUAGUCUUAAGAGAGCAAGAUCCGAACCUGAUGGAGUGGAUGCAAGAUAACUUGCAUUGGUAUUGUCUGUUGUGUGAAUAAAUCCUGCCUAUCAAUCUCCUUGAAACUGAUAUAAAAACUACUGCAACAAAAGGACUUAGAUCUUGAGAAGAAAGUAUCUGAACUGCAGAUUUAAGUAAACCACCAGAGAGAUGCACCUGACACCCAUAUGCUCUCAGAGUCUCUGCAGAUAUCACUGGAGACAGUGGAUUAACUGUUACUUGCUCUUCCUCUGCCUCCCCAUCUCAGCCCAUAAAGGAGUUGCUCAGCAGUUCCCCACAGCAUGUCACCAAUCCUUACCACCAUGGCUGAUAACUUUUUUGUACGGUUCAAUUGCCUUCAUGUCCACCCUGUGGUCCUGUUCUCCGAUCCGAAACAUGCGCCAGCGGCGGCCGUCAUCCUUCUCCUCUGCCACAGCGUACUCAGCCAGUGAGCCCUUCCUAAUGACAUCAGUAGUUUUUGGUUUUGGAAGAUCAUCUGCCAAAAUGAGAACAUGUUGAAGACCCAUUAUGAAUACCAUGCAUAGUGACAAUCAGCCACAACACAAGUUAACCACUUUGCUAUCUAAUCUAAUUUGGUAUUCUUCAGCCAGCCAGACACACCAGCUGAUGUCAUGGAUAUUUUAUUAACAUACUCAUGUUGGCAGUUUUCUGUUGACUGUAAUUUUCUCUGUUACAAGUAUGUGAAAAUUUUCCAUUUGUGGAGAAGCCUAAUUAAAUGUAGGCUUUCAUAACACAGACCUCAAUGAAUUUCACCAAAAUAGGCAAAGUGGUUAACUCCGAUGAGAAUUACAGAGAUUGAUCACAGAUUUACAUGAAGCAUGAUUUAAAACAUUGAGGUACCUUGCAAGCAGACAUGCAGAAAAAUCUAUUGGAAAUUAAAUCUAAUUCACAUGUGCAAUCAAAAUAUAUGAAAUUUGUGCUGAGAGGAAUCUGUAAGACAAUUUGCUCCAAUAAAAUUAUGAUUCUUGACUUUGUUGCAUGAACCUUACCCAAAGCGAGAAAAACCUACUGCAAGUUAGUUGUCUGCUCCCGAAACAAAGCUGUUAAUUGAAACUAUCCUUCCAGGAAAAUGAAGGCAGCAGCAUUAAAGGAAGAAAAGACAGAAACCCUUUUCAGCCACUUUUAAAAACAAGACACAAACAUCCGGAACAAUUCCUUUACAUCACUGCAAAAGUAACCCUAAACACCAAUUCUUCUUCAUUAAAACAGUGAAAACCCUUUUACAAAUUUAAACACACAGUCUCUGUUAAGAAAACUUCCACUGCAAUAUGCCUAUAGCUAUUUAAAAACCAAAGCCAACCCCUUAUUCUAAAGAGCGUUUCUUUCUCCACAGGUAGUGUUUCAAACAUAAAAGUGAAAAGAGAAUUUCCUGUUUAUUCAGGAAUUUAAAUUAUUUUCUUUUCAGAAUGAGAAUAAUUGAGUUUACAAGUUUACUUAUUAGAGACAUUCUUAAACCAUGAAAUUUACAGAUGUUAGAGACUCCAACAAUUUGCCCAACACAACUGUUCUUGGCUUCCAAAAAGAGGGCCCUAAGACAUCAUUAAACCCCAAGUUUAAAAAUUGUGCUUUAAGUCCUAUACAAAAUGUUUAUCUCAAAUAAAAUGUAUUACAAUAGCACUGUUUUGCCUGUAAGAUAUAUCACCUAUUAAUGUCUUAAAACUUCAAGAUAUUAAUAAUAAAACUGAGAUCAUUAC